ensembl:lncRNA
GUAGAUAUGUAUAGGGGUAAGGAGACAGGGAUAAUGGAGUGAUGGAGGUAGAUAUGUAUAGGGGUAAGGAGACAGGGAUACUGGAGUGAUGGAGGUAGAUAUGUAUAGGGGGAAGGAGACAGGGAUACUGGAGUGAUGGAGGUAGAUAUGUAUAGGGGGAAGGAGACAGGGAUACUGGAGUGAUGGAGGUAGAUAUGUAUAGGGGAAGGGGACAGGGAUACUGGAGUGAUGAGGUAGAUAUGUAUAGGGGAAGGGGACAGGGAUACUGGAGUGAUGGAGGUAGAUAUGUAUAGGAGACAGGGAUACUGGAGUGAUGGAGGUAGAUAUGUAUAGGGGAAGGGGACAGGGAUACUGGAGUGAUGGAGGUAGAUAUGUAUAGGAGACAGGGAUACUGGGGUGAUGGAGGUAGAUACAGUGCCUUCGGAAGUUAUUCAGACCC